rnacentral:rRNA from 1 species
UACGUAGGGGGCGAGCGUUGUCCGGAUUUAUUGGCGUAAGAGCUCGUAGGCGGUUCGAUAAGUCGGACGUGAAAUCUCCACGCUCAACGUGGAGGGCCGUUCGAUACUGUCGUGACUCGAGUCCGGUAGGGGAGUGUGGAAUUCCCGGUGUAGCGGUGAAAUGCGCAGAGAUCGGGAGGAACACCCGUAGCGAAGGCGGCACUCUGGGCCGGUACUGACGCUGAGGAGCGAAAGCGUGGGGAGCAAGCAGG